CGGGAUCAGGAGUGAGAGGACAGAGCAGGACACUGGAGGCUCCUGUGGUUCCUACCAUAUAGGAUCCGCUCAGUGGAUAUCUUCUGUAUAAGGUCCUUCUCCUGAUUGACCUGUCAAGGAUGGACAGGGACAGGGACAAGAUGGCGGAGAGUAUAAUAAAUCUCACCCUAGAGAUCCUCUUCCGGCUUACUGGAGAGGACUACACAGUAGUGAAGAAGACCUCUAGUGAGCGCUGUCAGGACCCUGUGUCUGAAG